rnacentral:lncRNA from 1 species
CAACAUCUGUCCUUGUCGUGACUUCCUGCAGGCAGAAGCAUUGAGAAUGGGACUCUGUUCAACAGAUCCAGUGUUCAUAGAUGUCUCGAAGCCCUUGGAAGGUCUCCAAAGUGACUGGUUUGAAGGGGGUGCUGCAAUGAGGCAAUGGGUUGUUUUGGCUGCCUCUGAAGAAAAGGGGUGCCAGAAUAGACCCAAAGCCUGGACUCUGCCCUCAGUGGGGAACAUGAAUUACAUUUCUGCCAAAGGACAACUCUGAGAAGGCUUGGUGCAGCCGGGCAGGACAGCUCUGCAAAGUCCGGAGUGGGGAAUGGAUCACAUUCAGUCUGGACCUUUGCCCAGUGUGCUUCUUUCCUGUCCUUCCCUGCUAACUGAGACAACGUAUAUGUCCAGCCUUUCUGUUCAGCUGUCAACUGUGAAUGACACCAGAUAGGGACGCUUGAGCUGUGCAUGGAAUUGUCUGGCUUUAGGCUGACACCUUCCUUGCCAUCCCCCUGAUGCCAUCUAAGACCAAGGCCAUGGAGAGGCACUUUUAUCUGUGCAGGAGCAAAGAGGAGUCAAAUUUCUGGAAGCAAUCUAACCAUAACAAACGAAGACUGUGUUGCUUCAAGGCUUUUAGGUAUCGCAUCCAGAGAGGCAGGCUGGUAGCUCAGCCAGCCAAAGGGUGUCUGCUUCAGGGGACAACAAGUGUUGAGAACCUGAGAAAAGAGAGCUGGCCCAAAGAGUGGAG